rnacentral:rRNA from 1 species
CGCUGGCGGCGUGCCUAAUACAUGCAAGUCGAACGCACUCUCGUUUAGAUUGAAGGAGCUUGCUCUGAUUGAUAACAUUUGAGUGAGUGGCGGACGGGUGAGUAACACGUGGGUAACCUGCCCUAAAGUGGGGGAUAACAUUUGGAAACAGAUGCUAAUACCGCAUAAAACCUAACACCGCAUGGUGUAGGGUUGAAAGAUGGUUUCGGCUAUCACUUUAGGAUGGACCCGCGGUGCAUUAGUUAGUUGGUGAGGUAAAGGCUCACCAAGACCGUGAUGCAUAGCCGACCUGAGAGGGUAAUCGGCCACACUGGGACUGAGACACGGCCCAGACUCCUACGGGAGGCAGCAGUAGGGAAUCUUCCACAAUGGACGAAAGUCUGAUGGAGCAACGCCGCGUGAGUGAAGAAGGUUUUCGGAUCGUAAAACUCUGUUGUUGGAGAAGAAUGUAUCUGAUAGUAACUGAUCAGGUAGUGACGGUAUCCGACCAGAAAGCCACGGCUAACUACGUG